rnacentral:rRNA from 1 species
AUUGAACGCUGGCGGCAGGCUUAACACAUGCAAGUCGAGCGGGGGAGGUUGCUUCGGUAACUGACCUAGCGGCGGACGGGUGAGUAAUGCUUAGGAAUCUGCCUAUUAGUGGGGGACAACAUUCCGAAAGGGAUGCUAAUACCGCAUACGCCCUACGGGGGAAAGCAGGGGAUCUUCGGACCUUGCGCUAAUAGAUGAGCCUAAGUCGGAUUAGCUAGUUGGUGGGGUAAAGGCCUACCAAGGCGACGAUCUGUAGCGGGUCUGAGAGGAUGAUCCGCCACACUGGGACUGAGACACGGCCCAGACUCCUACGGGAGGCAGCAGUGGGGAAUAUUGGACAAUGGGGGGAACCCUGAUCCAGCCAUGCCGCGUGUGUGAAGAAGGCCUUAUGGUUGUAAAGCACUUUAAGCGAGGAGGAGGCUACUGAGACUAAUACUCUUGGAUAGUGGACGUUACUCGCAGAAUAAGCACCGGCUAACUCUGUGCCAGCCGCCGCGGUAAGAC